AAGCGCUUAUGACCAGACUUGUACUCGGUGAAUCAUCCAGUGUUCUCACUGGUGCACUUUGCCGUGUUCAGGCCAGCAUCGGUUUUCUUAGGGGGAUAAAGGCCUCGGGAAUGUAGCUCCUCGGAGUGUUAUAGCCCGUUGCAAAAUACCCUUCAGGGGACCGAGGUUCGCGCAUUUGCUAGGAUGCUGGCGUAAUGGUCAUCAGCGG
rnacentral:rRNA from 1 species